CGAGGUUUGCCGAGCAAUAGUUGACGAAUAUAAAGAUGAGGUGUCUGUGUUGUUUCCGUAAAAUAUUCUUAUAAAUGAGAAAUAGAAGGAAUGAAACAGUAUUUAUAUGGAGUUCGGUGCUGACGUUAUUGUUGAGAGCGUAGUAAGAUCGCGGUAUGAGCGUGGUAUGGUCGUAGUAAGGUCGUGGGACGAGCGUGCUAUAAUCGCAGUAGAAGCGUUGUAAGAUCGUGUUGCAAUCGCAUAAAUCGUGGUAUGGUCGUAGUGAGAACGUGAAGAGCGUAGAAAGGUCUUGAUAGGCGUAGUGAGGUCGCAGAAUAAGCGUGGUGAGAACG
rnacentral:lncRNA from 1 species